CCGGAGAGGGAGCCUGUGAAACGGCUACCACAUCUAAGGAAGGCAGCAGGCGCGCAAAUUACCCAAUCCUAAUACAGGGAGGUAGUGACAAGAAAUAACAAUACAGAACCUUACGGUUUUGUAAUUGGAAUGAGUUAAGUAUAAACCCCUUAACAAGUAUCAAUUGGAGGGCAAGUCUGGUGCCAGCAGCCGCGGUAAUUCCAGCUCCAAUAGCGUAUAUUAAAGUUGUUGCAGUUAAAAAGCUCGUAGUUAAUCUUCUGUUAAUUUUUAUAUAUAAUAUCACGAUAUUUAUAUAAUAUUAACAUAAUUCAUAUUACUUUUUAGUAUAUGAAACUUUACUUUGAGAAAAUUAGAGUGCUUAAAGCAGGCUAUUGCCUUGAAUACUCCAGCAUGGAAUAAUAUUAAGGAUUUUUAUUCUUCUUAUUGGUUCUAGAAUAAAAAUGAUGAUUAAUAGGGACAGUUGGGGGCAUUUGUAUUUAACAGUCAGAGGUGAAAUUCUUAGAUUUGUAAAAGACAAACUACU
rnacentral:rRNA from 1 species